CAGCAGCCGCGGUAAUACGGAGGGUGCAAGCGUUAAUCGGAAUUACUGGGCGUAAAGCGCACGCAGGCGGUCUGUCAAGUCGGAUGUGAAAUCCCCGGGCUCAACCUGGGAACUGCAUUCGAAACUGGCAGGCUAGAGUCUUGUAGAGGGGGGUAGAAUUCCAGGUGUAGCGGUGAAAUGCGUAGAGAUCUGGAGGAAUACCGGUGGCGAAGGCGGCCCCCUGGACAAAGACUGACGCUCAGGUGCGAAAGCGUGGGGAGCAAACAGGAUUAGAUACCCGUGUAGUCCCUGUCUCUUAUAA
rnacentral:rRNA from 1 species